rnacentral:rRNA from 1 species
AGUGAACGCUGGCGGUAGGCCUAACACAUGCAAGUCGAACGGCAGCACAGUAAGAGCUUGCUCUUACGGGUGGCGAGUGGCGGACGGGUGAGGAAUACAUCGGAAUCUACUUUUUCGUGGGGGAUAACGUAGGGAAACUUACGCUAAUACCGCAUACGACCUACGGGUGAAAGCAGGGGAUCUUCGGACCUUGCGCGAUUGAAUGAGCCGAUGUCGGAUUAGCUAGUUGGCGGGGUAAAGGCCCACCAAGGCGACGAUCCGUAGUUGGUCUGAGAGGAUGAUCAGCCACACUGGAACUGAGACACGGUCCAGACUCCUACGGGAGGCAGCAGUGGGGAAUAUUGGACAAAGGGCGCAAGCCUGAUCCAGCCAUACCGCGUGGGUGAAGAAGGCCUUCGGGUUGUAAAGCCCUUUUGUUGGGAAAGAAAAGCAGCAGGUUAAUACCCCGCUGUUCUGACGGUACCCAAAGAAUAAGCACCGGCUAACUUCGUG